AUUAUUACAACUAAUUAUUGCAAUAUGUGUUUAACAUCAGUAAAAAAACAAUCUAUUACGAAUGACUUUAGUAUUGUAAUAAUUCACGAUUCCUCCUGUUAAACAAAGUAUCAAAUAAAUUUAUUGAUGAAACUUGUAACACAACUAUGUCUAAAAAAUUUGUCUGUUGGUAAUAAUUAACCUGAAACGACCGUGCGUAAUUAUCAAAUAGAAACCGCAAUGUGCGUAAUCCGGAUACGAAUGGUAACCGCAAAUUAGUGCGAACAAAAUGAAAGGUAGAAGGGGAAUUGGAAUAAAAGCAAUGUAUUUUAUGUGUAUUUGCAUUCCGCUAGUGUCCGACUUUUGGUUCGACGAUAGCUUGCUAAAAAGCAAAACGAUCUAAGAAAGUCAUAUCGAUUCAUAGUUUGUAAUCUGUGUGAACGCGAUGUCACCGUUACGUCUCAUUAUCUUCGCCGUUUUGCUGUGCGUUUUCAUCGUUACAAGUGAAUCAAGACCUCUUACUUUCCCAAAAAGGAAAAAUACUGGUACAAAAGAAUGUCCACCGGGAUACAGAUACGUUCGUAACCUAGGCUGUAGGAAAAUCAUAUCGCUUGCGACCUAAAACGUAAAAUCUAGAUAAACAGCGUAUCUCCAAGCAACUAUGUAACUGGAAUCUUUUUGGAUGCGUGAGAAAUUAAUCAACGGCGUAUCUUUUCCAACUUAUUUUCCAUUUGAUGUAAAGAUGUAAAAUAAAUAACGAUAUAUAUCGAUGAUAAA